rnacentral:tRNA from 1 species
GCGGGCGUGGCGAAACUGGCAGACGCGCCAGACUUAGGAUCUGGUUCCCUUACCGGAGUGGAGGUUCAAGUCCUCUCGCCCGCACCA